CUACGGGGCGCACCAGUGAGGAAUUUUGCGCAAUGGGGGGAACCCUGACGCAGCAACGCCGCGUGAGUGAUGAAGGCUUUCGGGUCGUAAAGCUCUGUCAAGUGGGAAGAACCUAUGCAGUGUUAAUAUCACUGUAUACUGACGGUACCACUGAAGGAAGCACCGGCUAACUCCGUGCCAGCAGCCGCGGUAAUGACGGGGGGUGCAAGCGUUAUUCGGAAUCAUUGGGCGUAAAGGGCACGUAGGCGGCUUGGUAAGUCAGAUGUGAAAGCCCGGGGCUUAACCCCGGAAGUGCAUUUGAUACUGUCAGGCUUGAGUAUGGGAGAGGGAAGUGGAAUUCCUGGUGUAGAGGUGAAAUUCGUAGAUAUCAGGAGGAACACCGGUGGCGAAGGCGACUUCCUGGACCAAUACUGACGCUGAGGUGCGAAGGCGUGGGUAGCAAACAGGAUUAGAUACCCGAGUAGUC
rnacentral:rRNA from 1 species